ACUACGACUCUCGACAAUGGAUAUCUCGGCYCUCGCUUCGAUGAAGAACGUAGCGAAAUGCGAUACCUUGUGUGAAUUGCAGAAUCCCGUGAAUCAUCGAAUCUUUGAACGCAAGUUGCGCCCGAGGCCUAGGCUGAGGGCACGUCUGCCUGGGUGUCGUGAAA
rnacentral:rRNA from 1 species